GGCAUCUAUGAUGAGACUUUGGCUCCCUCUUCUGAAGCAUGUGAGGAAAAUUGCCAAACGUUACCCAAAAAUCUCUGAGAUGCA